rnacentral:rRNA from 1 species
GAUGAACGCUGGCGGCGUGCCUAAUACAUGCAAGUCGAACGCAUAGCGAAAGGUGCUUGCACCUUUCAAGUGAGUGGCGAACGGGUGAGUAACACGUGGACAACCUGCCUCAAGGCUGGGGAUAACAUUUGGAAACAGAUGCUAAUACCGAAUAAAACUUAGUGUCGCAUGACACAAAGUUAAAAGGCGCUUCGGCGUCACCUAGAGAUGGAUCCGCGGUGCAUUAGUUAGUAGGUGGGGUAAAGGCCUACCAAGACAAUGAUGCAUAGCUAAGUUGAGAAGCGGAUCGGCUACAUUGAGCUUGAGAGAGGGCCCAACGUCCAAGGGAGGGCUGCAGUGGGCAUUCUACGCAAUGGGCGAAAGCCUGAUGGAGCAACGCCGCGUGUGUGAUGAAGGCUUUCGGGUCGUAAAGCACUGUUGUAUGGGAAGAACAGCUAGAAUAGGAAAUGAUUUUAGUUUGACGGUACCAUACCAGAAAGGGACGGCUAAAUACGUG